ACAUGCAGUCGAGCGAACGGACGAGAAGCUUGCUUCUCUGAUGUUAGCGGCGGAGGGUGAGUAACACGUGGAUAACCUACCUAUAAGACUGGGAUAACUUCGGGAAACCGGAGCUAAUACCGGAUAAUAUUUUGAACCGCAUGGUUCAAAAGUGAAAGACGGUCUUGCUGUCACUUAUAGAUGGAUCCGCGCUGCAUUAGCUAGUUGGUAAGGUAACGGCUUACCAAGGCAACGAUGCAUAGCCGACCUGAGAGGGUGAUCGGCCACACUGGAACUGAGACACGGUCCAGACUCCUACGGGAGGCAGCAGUAGGGAAUCUUCCGCAAUGGGCGAAAGCCUGACGGAGCAACGCCGCGUGAGUGAUGAAGGUCUUCGGAUCGUAAAACUCUGUUAUUAGGGAAGAACAUAUGUGUAAGUAACUGUGCACAUCUUGACGGUACCUAAUCAGAAAGCCACGGCUAACUACGUGCCAGCAGCCGCGGUAAUACGUAGGUGGCAAGCGUUAUCCGGAAUUAUUGGGCGUAAAGCGCGCGUAGGCGGUUUUUUAAGUCUGAUGUGAAAGCCCACGGCUCAACCGUGGAGGGUCAUUGGAAACUGGAAAACUUGAGUGCAGAAGAGGAAAGUGGAAUUCCAUGUGUAGCGGUGAAAUGCGCAGAGAUAUGGAGGAACACCAGUGGCGAAAGCGACUUUCUGGUCUGUAACUGACGCUGAUGUGCGAAAGCGUGGGGAUCAAACAGGAUUAGAUACCCUGGUAGUCCACGCCGUAAACGAUGAGUGCUAAGUGUUAGGGGGUUUCCGCCCCUUUAGUGCUGCAGCUAACGCAUUAAGCAC
rnacentral:rRNA from 1 species